AGCGGUGAAAUUCCAAACGAACUUGGAGAUAGCUGGUUCUCUCCGAAAUAGCUUUAGGGCUAGCCUCGCAAAGAGGAUGCUGGAGGUAGAGCUCUGUUUGGACUAGGGGCCCGUCAAGGGUUACUGAAUUCAGAUAAACUGCGAAUUCCAGACAUUUAUGUGCGGGAGUCAGACUGCGAGUGAUAAGAUCCGUAGUCGAAAGGGAAACAGCCCAGAUCACCAGUUAAGGUCCCAAAAUUCAUGCUAAGUGGAAAAGGAUGUGGAGUUGCGCAGACAACUAGGACGUUGGCUCAGAAGCAGCCAUCAUUCAAAGAGUGCGUAAUAGCUCACUAGUCGAGUGACGCCGCGCCGAAAAUUUACCGGGGCUAAGCAUGAUACCGAAACUGUGGAUGUGCAUUUAUGCACGUGGUAGGAGAGCGUUCUAGCGGCGGUGAAGCAUGACCGAGAGGACAUGUGGAGCUUCUAGAAGUGAGAAUGCCGGUAUGAGUAACGAAAGACAGGUGAGAAUCCUGUCCGCCGCAAGACUAAGGUUUCCUGGGGCAGGCUCGUCCGCCCAGGGUAAGUCGGGACCUAAGGCGAGGCCGAGAGGCGUAGUCGAUGGACAACAGGUUGAAAUUCCUGUACUGCACCGAAUCGUUAUGAGCGAUGGAGGGACGCAGGAGGCUAGCAGCGCGUGGUGCUGGAUACCACGUUCAAGCGUCAAGUCUGAGCUGCGACGUCACACUGCCGAGAAAAGCUUCUAGCCAGAGACGGUGCACCCGUACCGCAAACCGACACAGGUAGUCGAGGAGAGUAUCCUCAGGUGAGCGAGAGAACUCUCGUUAAGGAACUCGGCAAAAUGGCCCCGUAACUUCGGGAGAAGGGGCGCUGGUCGCAAGAUCAGCCGCAGUGAAAAGGCCCAAGCAACUGUUUAUCAAAAACACAGGCAUCUGCAAAAUCGUAAGAUGAAGUAUAGGUGCUGACACCUGCCCGGUGCUGGAAGGUUAAGAGGAGAGCUUAGCGCAAGCGAAGGUUUGAAUUGAAGCCCCAGUAAACGGCGGCCGUAACUAUAACGGUCCUAAGGUAGCGAAAUUCCUUGUCGGGUAAGUUCCGACCUGCACGAAAGGUGUAAUGAUUUGGGCACUGUCUCAACGAGAGACUCGGUGAAAUUAUAAUACCCGUGAAGAUGCGGGUUACCCGCGACAGGACGGAAAGACCCCAUGGAGCUUUACUGCAGUUUAAUAUUGGGUAUCUGUCAAGCAUGUACAGGAUAGGUAGGAGCCGGAGAAGAUAGGACGCCAGUCUUAUC
rnacentral:rRNA from 1 species